rnacentral:lncRNA from 1 species
AUGUUAUUAUACUAAGUAAUUGUGGCUUAAUUACUACAAUCACUACAACAAAAACGGUCUAUAGCGACACUUUUAAAUGUAGGUACAUGUCAAAAAAGUGCUGCUAACUAAAAUUACCAACACUUUUAAAAAGUGUUGGUAUAUGUGGGGUCGCUAGGUAUAUAGUGACAAUUAAAGAGUGUCGCUAUAACCUAAAAGAGUGCUGCUAAUUUACCAACACUUAUUUAAGCAUUUAGCAACCGCCGAAACUCUAUCACGUUGGUUGCAGUGGCGCAGGAGGAUGACAGGAAAGACUCUUCGUCUAGAAUUUCAGUGGAUUGAGUGAAAAGAGAAGAAAAUAUGAUAAUUAAUUUUUUCUUUUUUUUUUCUUUUCUGUUUGUAAUCGGGUCAAAUGAACUGGGUGUGGUGGGUUGAGUAGAGUAAUCUUUUAUUUUUGGUUGGAUUGGACUUUAUAUUUAGGCAUAAGUAGAUAUUUUUUUAAGUUUUAGCAUAAAUGAGAUACUUACUCAAAAAUGUUCCAAACAUGUGUCCCUAUAACCUAAUUCUGUUGUAGUGAAAAUAUCAACAUUUGAGAUGUUAGUGUCUUGUAUAUAUCAAUAAACCAAACAAAGCAUGCAACAAGAGGGGGUUUUAG